rnacentral:rRNA from 1 species
CCUACGGGAGGCAGCAGUGGGGAAUAUUGGGCAAUGGAGGCAACUCUGACCCAGCAACGCCGCGUGAAUGAUGAAGGUCUUCGGAUUGUAAAGUUCUGUGAUGGAGGAUGAACACAAUGACGGUACCCCAAUAGCAAGCCACGGCUAACUACGAGCCAGCAGCCGCGGUAAUACGUAGGUGGCAAGCGUUCGCCGGAUUUAUUGGGUUUAAAGGGUGCGUAGGCGGAUCGGUAAGUCAGUGGGCAAAUUGAGGGGCUCAACACCUUCCCGCCAUUGAAACUGGCGCUCGUGAGUGGAAGAGAGGUAUGCGGAAUGCGUGGUGUAGCGGGGAAAUGCUUAGAUAUCACGCAGAACCCCGAUUGCGAAGGCAGCAUGCCGGCUUCCGACUGACGCUGAUGCACGAAAGCGUGGGGAUCGAACAGGAUUAGAUACCCUUGUAGUC